ACAUGUUUCAUUCUUGGCUGAUCCUGCAUUCUUGUAUGCAGUGUGUCAACACGGAUUAUCACACACACAUUUAUGGAAACACUUGUUGUACAAACGAACAAGUCCAAACAUUGUACAUGUACACAAUGUACUACAUUAAAACCGCCUCACGCACAGCGGUGAGUAAACGCCAUGGCAACAGGACGGUGACGUUUCACUGAGGUCACCUGAACGCUGCUGGCCAUUCUGAAUUCACUUCUACUGUUGAACUUGACGAGUGUAGCUGUGUUACCUAAAGAGUUGAACGGUCUGAGGCCCAAUCCCGUGGAAAAUAACCUGUGGAGAAUAAAUUGUUGGAGAACCGACCAAAAGUACUAACGAGUGUUACGUGGAGGAGACGAUGUCUUCCAGUGGACCCCCUGCGGUGGAGCCCCUGCUGAGCAGAGUCAGACGGUGGAUCCUUGCCUUUGCAAGUGAACCCCUCUGGCCCCUGUUCGCUGACCGCCCUGUCGUCCAGAGGGCCCUCGACGACGUGGUUCUUCCGGAUUACGAGGACGAGCUGAAGGAGGCCGAGCCCACCAGAGGGGACGGUGAGCCACAGGUUCCUCCUCCUCCUCCCUUUGCUGCUCCCUACCCUGCUCCCUACUCUCACCCCUAUGCUGCUGCACGCUAUGCUGCUGCUCCCUACCCUGCUCCAUACCCUGCUCCCUAUGCUGCUCCCUCUUCUGCUGCUCCCUUUGCUGCUCCCUACCCUGCUCACUACCUUGCUCCUUACCCUGCUCCCUACUCUCACCCCUAUGCUGCUGCACGCUAUGCUGCUGCUCCCUACCCUGCUCCCUACUCUCACCCCUAUGCUACUGCUCGCUAUGCUGCUGCUCCCUACCCUGCUCCCUAUGCUGCUCCCUAUGCUGCUGCUCCCUUUGCUGCUCCCUACCCUGCUCGCUACGUUGCUCCUUACCCUGUUCCCUACUCUCACGCCUAUGCUGCUGCUCCCUAUGCUGCCGCUCCCUAUGCUGCUCCCUAUGCGGCUCCCUAUGCUGCUGCUCCCUAUGCUUAUGCUUUUGCUGCCUUUGCUGACCUUAACGCUGACCCUCACGCUGACCUUAACGCUGACCCUCACGCUGACCCUCAUGCUGACCUUAACGCUGUCCCUCAUGAUGGUGAUGAUGAUAUGAACGAUGAAAUUAACCGUAUGCUUCAAAGAUACAGGUUAGGGCUCCCCGAUGAGGAGGAGGACUCUGACAUUGAUGUCGUGGGUGAGUUUGCGUUACAGGUCCCUUUACUGGACAUUGAAGACAUCGGGCCAGUGCCCCCAGAAGACUCUUUUGAGGAGCUCCUGGAUGCAGAUGUUCUUGAAUCUCCCUCAACUUCUGGCCUCGACUCUUCGGCAAAACGGCGCAGGGACGAGAGCGACGGGGAGGAGUCUGCUGCGAAGAGGGCGCGUUAGUCUGAAGACAGCGACUCUGAUUGACAAUCCUCUGGGAAGCUUCGGAGCAACCACUGAGUCCACUUGCAGCAGGAACAGUGGUUGCCAUGGUAGCCUUUGCGUCUGGCAGGGCUAGUGUCCCCCAUGUAGCGUCUUGCAUUGGGGCUUUUCUGUAUUAUGUAGUCAUAUUUGCACAAGACAUCGGUCAACCUUUAUUUCAUCCUGAGGCCUUUGCGUCUGGCGGGGCUGUUGACCCCUUCUGCAGGUACUGGUAUCCUUUGCGUCUGGCAGGGCUUGUGUCCCCCAUGUAGCGUCUUGCUCUGGGGCUUUUCUUCUUCUUUGCGCGGUGGAUCGAUCAACUUUUCUUUCAUCCUGACGGCCGGCCUUUGCGACUGGCUUGGCCGGCGCUGCCUCAGGUAGCCUUUGCGUCUGGCAGAGGCGUUGACACGCCGAGCAUGUAGCCUUUGCGUCUGGCAGGGUUGAAGAAGACAAAAAUGCUUUUAUGUCUCGUUUUAUGCCUCCCCCUCCCCCACAGUGUCCACAUUCCUUUACAGGUUAAGAGUGAAGGUAUCAGUGAAAACUGACAAACAACAGAGUAAGUAGAACUCCCAAGGUUAGAAAUGCCUUCAUAUGGCCAAAUAUAGUGUAUGCCGUUAUGGAAAUUCAUAAUAUUCAAAUAUUUAUAAUUACUUCCCAUACUAAUCAUGUUUUUAUCCCAUUUGGCCGUGUGAAAAAGUAAGUACCAGCGUCUGUUUUGUUCAGACAGUGACCUAUAACAUGAAUACAAAGAAGUAAUAUGCAAAGAUAAUUUGCCCGUGCCACUUACCAUUAUGUGUUGUUACCUCUCUCACUUUGCCACCUGAGAUGCUGCUGUUCAAUGUGGACGAAAAAGGUAAGUAACUUAGAAUAAUCUGUAACCUACAGGCAACGUUAGAAGUAGGUUCUUUUAUUCUAUUGUAAAUCUGUUUAUGCACUUUGUAUGUUGACUCUAUUAUGCAAAUAUUGUUUUUACUAACCAAUACUUUAACCACGCUCCAACUGAGCUGCUGCUGUUCACCGAGGACCAAAAGGUGAGUGUGAGCAUAACGACUAUAUAUCAUCACCAAGUUUAUCUGUAGAAAUAUAGGAAUAUAAUUAGAGUACGAGCUUGUGACCUGUAAGAAUAAAAUAAAACCUGAGUAACUUGGUUCUCCGCGUUACAUCACCGAUUCAAUGAUCAAAAUGUAAUAUGUGUUACUCACUGUUAUUUUUAACAGGCCGCUACCUCUCGCUGUGGACUAAAAGAUGAGUAAGAGUAUCUGACUUCUGUAAUAUGUAUAUAAAGUAAUGUGUGUUAUUGUGUAAACUAGCUCUUUGUGCACCUCAGUAUCCUUAAACUGUCACUAAUUCAAUAACUCAAAGGUGUUUGUGCCCCAGACAGAAAAGUGUCAAUAGUGAAUGAUAACAUCAAUAUUUAGGUAUAUUUGCUGGCCUUUCUCACUAUGACGUCCACACAGGGAGCAGCAAAGGAGGAAGAGCCGGACUCCGGGUUCCUGCAGGACAUCCAGGGCUACACGUUGAACACUAAAAAGAAACGCCCACAUUCCACUCCCAGGACAAGAUGGAGAGCAGCUAAGUUGAACUACUUCCUGUUCUUCUGUUUCAGAGACUCAACUUCCUGCACUACAUCCAGGGUGACCAUGACGACAGAAGACAAUCGCUCACUCCCGACCAGGGCAGCACUCCUGUUUUAUCCUUUGGAAAUCCUCGUGGUCCUGAGAGUGGAUGUAAACAGAAGUGCAAGCAGCCGUCCACUCAGAACAUUUCUCCACCUCACUGUUUAGAUGAAGAAUUCAAUAAAACACUUCUCAUAGAACCCUUUUGUUUUGGGAGAUUUCUUUGGUUCAAUCUCAUGUUCAUGUGAACCUUUUGGAGCGUUGAAUCGGUCGCAG
ensembl:lncRNA